GAUGAACGCUGGCGGCGUGCCUAAUACAUGCAAGUCGAGCGAACGGACGAUAAGCUUGCUUCUCUGAUGUUAGCGGCGGACGGGUGAGUCACACGUGGAUAACCUACCUAUAAGACUGGGAUAACUUCGGGAAACCGGCGCUAAUACCGGAUAAUAUUUUGAACCGCAUGGUUCAAAAGUGAAAGACGGUCUUGCUGUCACUUAUAGAUGGAUCCGCGCUGCAUUAGCUAGUUGGUAAGGUAACGGCUUACCAAGGCAACGAUGCAUAGACGACCGGCGAGGGGGAUCGCCGGCCUGGGAGGGGAACCGGGGUCAAGACGACUACGGUACGCAGCAGUAGGGAACCUGCCGCAGUAGGGGAGAGCAUGACGGAACAGGGGGGCGUGAGUGGUAGCGGCCCUCGGAUCGUAAAACUCGGUUAUUAGUGAUGAACAUAUUUGUAAGUAACUGUGCACAUCUUGACGGUACCUAAUCAGAAAGCCACGGCUAACUACGUG
rnacentral:rRNA from 1 species